GAUGAACGCUGGCGGCGUGCCUAAUACAUGCAAGUAGAACGCUGAAGGAAGGAGCUUGCUCUUUCCGGAUGAGUUGCGAACGGGUGAGUAACGCGUAGGUAACCUGCCUGGUAGCGGGGGAUAACUAUUGGAAACGAUAGCUAAUACCGCAUAACAGUAGAUGUUGCAUGAUAUCUACUUAAAAGGUGCAAUUGCACCACUACCAGAUGGACCUGCGUUGUAUUAGCUAGUUGGUGAGGUAACGGCUCACCAAGGCGACGAUACAUAGCCGACCUGCGAGGGUGAUCGCCCACACUGGGACGGGGACACGGCCCAGCACACUACGGGAGGCAGCAGUAGGGAAUCUUCGGCAAUGGACGGAAGUCUGACCGAUGAACGCCGCGUGAGUGAAGAAGGUUUUCGGAUCGUAAAGCUCUGUUGUAAGAGAAGAACGAGUGUGAGAGUGGAAAGUUCACACUGUGACGGUAUCUGACCAGAAAGGGACGGCUAACUACGUG
rnacentral:rRNA from 1 species